rnacentral:rRNA from 1 species
GAGCGGGCAUCGCAAUGAUGUCAGCGGCAGACGGGAGAGUAACACGUGGGAACAUGCCCUUCGGUUCGGAAUAACUCAGGGAAACUUGAGCUAAUACCGGAUACGUCCGUAAGGAGAAAGAUUUAUCGCCGAAGGAUUGGCCCGCGUCCGAUUAGCUAGUUGGUGGGGUAAUGGCCCACCAAGGCGACGAUCGGUAGCUGGUCUGAGAGGAUGAUCAGCCUCACUGGGACUGAGACACGGCCCAGACUCCUACGGGAGGCAGCAGUGGGGAAUAUUGGACAAUGGGCGCAAGCCUGAUCCAGCCAUGCCGCGUGGGUGAUGAAGGCCCUAUGGUUGUAAAGCCCUUUCGGCGGGGAAGAUAAUGACGGUACCCGCAGAAUAAGCCCCGGCUAACUUCGUG